rnacentral:tRNA from 1 species
GGCAAUCUGUCCGAGUGGUCAAGGAGUACGUCUCGAAAACGUAUAGGCUCUGCCUGCACAGGUUCGAAUCCUGUGGUUGUCG